rnacentral:rRNA from 1 species
UAACACGUGAGCAACCUGCCUUUCAGUGGGGGACAACAUUUGGAAACGAAUGCUAAUACCGCAUAAGACCACAGUGUCGCAUGGCACAGGGGUCAAAGGAUUUAUCCGCUGAAAGAUGGGCUCGCGUCCGAUUAGCUAGAUGGUGAGGUAACGGCCCACCAUGGCGACGAUCGGUAGCCGGACUGAGAGGUUGAACGGCCACAUUGGGACUGAGACACGGCCCAGACUCCUACGGGAGGCAGCAGUGGGGAAUAUUGCACAAUGGGGGAAACCCUGAUGCAGCGACGCCGCGUGGAGGAAGAAGGUCUUCGGAUUGUAAACUCCUGUCCCAGGGGACGAUAAUGACGGUACCCUGGGAGGAAGCACCGGCUAACUACGUGCCAGCAGCCGCGGUAAAACGUAGGGUGCAAGCGUUGUCCGGAAUUACUGGGUGUAAAGGGAGCGCAGGCGGAUUGACAAGUUGGGAGUGAAAUCUAUGGGCUCAACCCAUAAAUUGCUUUCAAAACUGUCAGUCUUGAGUGGUGUAGAGGUAGGCGGAAUUCCCGGUGUAGCGGUGGAAUGCGGAGAUAUCGGGAGGAACACCAGUGGCGAAAGCGGCCUACUGGGCACUAACUGACGCUGAGGCUCGAAAGCAUGGGUAGCAAACAGGAUUAGAUACCCUGGUAGUCCAUGCCGUAAACGAUGAUUACUAGGUGUGGGAGGAUUGACCCCUU